rnacentral:rRNA from 1 species
CCUACGGGUGGCUGCAGUGGGGAAUUUUGGACAAUGGGGGCAACCCUGAUCCAGCCAUUCCGCGUGAGUGAAGAAGGCCUUCGGGUUGUAAAGCUCUUUCGGCCGGGAAGAAAUCGCAUCUCCUAAUACGGGGUGUGGAUGACGGUACCGGAAGAAGAAGCACCGGCUAACUACGUGCCAGCAGCCGCGGUAAUACGUAGGGUGCGUACGUUACGCGGAGCUACUGGGGGUAAAGCGUGAGCAGGGAGGUGAAAUCCCCGGGCUUAACCUGGGAACUGCGUUUGUGACUGGUGGGCUUGAGUGCGGCAGAGGGGGGUGGAAUUCCACGUGUAGCAGUGAAAUGCGUAGAGAUGUGGAGGAACACCGAUGGCGAAGGCAGCCCCCUGGGUCGACACUGACGCUCAUGCACGAAAGCGUGGGGAGCAAACAGGAUUAGAUACCCGUGUAGUC